CAGUCGCCACGGUAAUACGUAGGUGGCAAGCGUUGUCCGGAAUUAUUGGGCGUAAAGUGCGCGCAGGCGGUUUCUUAAGUCUGAUGUGAAAGCCCCCGGCUUAACCGGGGAGGGUCAUUGGAAACUGGGAGACUUAGAGUGCAGAAGAGGAGAGUGGAAUUCCAUGUGUAGCGGUGAAAUGCGUAGAUAUAUGGAGGAACACCAGUGGCGAAGGCGACUCUCUGGUCUGUAACUGACGCUGAGGCGCGAAAGCGUGGGGAGCAAACAGGAUUAGAGACCCCCGUAGUCCCUGUCUCUUAUA
rnacentral:rRNA from 1 species